rnacentral:misc_RNA from 1 species
GUGAAUCAUCAAAUUUUUGAACGCAAAUUGCACUCUCUUCGGAGAGUAUGCCUGUUUGAGGGUCAGCCUAAAAAAAUCGACAUAGUCGCUGUUUCGCGGUUACAUUCGGCGGGAAUUGGGUCAUCUUAAACCUUUGGGGUUUAAGCGGCUUAAAAUCUUCUUUACGAUUCCACCGACGUUUCUAAGAUUUACUUCCUAUACGGUUAAGGUAUCGAUCUUUUUUAGACGUUG